AAUGAUCUGAACUUGUAUGUGAAUGGUUCUGAAACCUAAUUAUUUUCGUUCUUGACUAUUUGCCAAUGUCCACUAGUAUCCUUGCGCACCCCUUUUUCUGUGUAGGUACUUGAUCGAGCAUAUGCUAUAUCUAAGACAUGGAAUGGUGCUAUCGUAAUACUCUCCGGGUAUUUCAACACUACACUUAAGGACUCGACUUGCUUCUCGAUGUUCUGGUUUCGGUGAGCCCGAAACAUCAACAUGAUUGUUCCAUGGCACUACAAAAUGGGGGCCAAAGCUGCAGAACCUUGCCUAUGGAUGCAGCAAAUCCAUCUUUAACACCACGGGUUAGCAUAAAAAAGGUUCAUAAGCAUGUCGAGCCGGCUGUAGCGAGGUUGCCGAAGUUCAGAUAUGUUGUUCGACCAGUUCAGAAGGUGGUUUUGAUAAUAGCCAUACUCUGUGUUGUUUUUGUGGGUCAAGCCGGCAAAGUUUACUUCGUCCGCACAAUCAGUUCACCUUGUUUUUUAAAAAUAAAAGUUUAGAGAUUUAAUUUAUCAAUUCAAUUUAAAACAUUUGGUAUGUUGAUUUUGUUGCGAGAUUGACUUGUGAGAAUAAUUGGGAGUUUUGCAUGUGAUUCUUGAAAAUAAAGUUCAGAAAUUAAGCUUAAGAAAACUUCACAAAUGGUAGCUGUAACACAUGUUCUGAAGUUCAUUUUUACUUGUCGCGGAGUUCGUUUCAUGGGUGCUGCUAUUACUGAUGUGUGGCUGAUGGGAAAAAAUAAUAGAAGUUCACAUUUCUCUAUUGACAAGUUCACUCUAUAUAUUUUUAGGAGCUCGAGGAAAGCACCAGGCCGCUCUCUUUCUGUUGUCUGUCCAGUGGAGUCCAUGAGAAGUUCAGAUGCAGGAGCCCCCUGCAUCCAAGGAAGUUCAAUUGUCAUGCACUAGUGCUCUCGUCUCACAGUAGCAGCCAACAGGGGAUGCCCGGGUAGAGG